AUCACCGUCUCUGAGUCUCUCAUCAACCCUAGGUCUCUAAUCGCGUGUUCUCUCCCUCUCUACCUACUGAUUUCGAGUUUUCGACGGUACCCAUCACAUCCCGCCAGACUCUUCGCUAGAUACAGUUCAUCCGCGUACGAGAAACUGUUCACUGAUAUGCUAGGUUUCCUCUUUCCCGUGGUUUUCUUCUCACAAACGGCGUUGUACAACUUUCAAUCAAGAAAGGGUUAUUAGGUAAGGAUGCAGAAGGAUAAGCGGAAAUCGUGGAAGGAGAAGGAGGAAGCGUGCUCUGUGCGGUUGAGUAUGAGAAGGAGAAGCGAAGAUCGUGGAACAACAGGGUACUCUUGCAUAUGAGGCAGAAAUUGGUUUUGAAAGGCUUGCAGAAACGUCUGGUCAUGUGUGUGGCAAACCUGAAACAAGAACUGAAGAUGCCAAGGUUGCUAACACAGCAAACCUGCUGCUGCUGCUGGAAAAGAGGGAAAAGCUUUGAGCUUUUCUAGGUUGCUGCAGAGAGAACAAGAAGGAAAGACCCUCUAAACAGCUUCAAUAAGUAGUUAAGUGGAUGGAAUAUCAAUGACCACCAUUAUUGGGCUGUAAGCUCAUCUAACCAUUGUUACUCUCUCUUCAGUAAUAGUACAUUCUAGGUUUUUUUUUUUGCUUCCCACUGUAUUUUGUUCAUUGUUGUUGGUAAUAGUUUUAUUUUAUGGAACUGCCAUAACCUACUUUGGAAUUAUCAGAAAAAUGAGCAAGGAAGAAUAUACUUUAAAUGCAUCUGAAAUUAG